CUUUUGCGUCAACUUGAUUUUAAUAAUUUAAUUGAGGAAUUAUAUUUAAAGAAGAACAGACAGAAGCACUUUUAGUUGUGAGUUGCAUUUAAUAAAUUUUAUUUUCUGGGCUGUUUUUGAUUGUAAAAUUAUUUGAUAAUAUUGUUUAAUUUAUUUAAAUAAUUUUAGCCAUUUAAUGUUGCACAUACGCUGUAAAAAAACACUGGAUUUACUAAAAAAUAUAGACAGGGCAUCGUUUUUUGCAUCCCCCUUUUUCAGUAAGUUUUACUAAAAAAAAUUAAGCAAUGGGGCAGUAUAUUUUUUAGUAAAUCCAGCCUUUAUUUUUUUCAGUGUAUAUUGGGGGGCCUCAAACCAGCGUUAGCCCAGGGCCUCACAAAGGCUUAACCCGGCACUGCAUAUGGUUCUGAUAAUUUCUGACAAUUCCCAGAAACUUCAACGUACAUUGCAACGUAAGGGUCCACUCUUCAAAAAGCAUCCCACGUUUUAAUCCAAAACAAUGAAAAUAGUGAGAAAUCCAGCAAUAUCCUCCUUUGUUUACAUCCGCGCGUCCGGUAAGUAUGAUCGAUCAUGUUUAUUUUCUAUCAAAUAUCGAUUUUUAUCAGUGAAAAUCCAUCUCUUCCUGCUUCGUUAGACUGUUCCGAUAAAUAUCCCGCCCUAUUUUUCUGUUUUGUCCAAUCAGAAAAGGUUUGACAACUCAAAAUGCCAUGGGAUACCCGAUUAGCCGAGCCAGAUGUCCUUCAGCUCACCAUAGGCUUUUGACUAGAUUACGCCAAAACGAAGCAAGCCAAUGCAUAGCCAGCAAGUUUGAAGGGCAGGGGUACUAACCAAUCAUGAAACGAUUACAAGAAUUCAACUUACGUCAGUAAAGUGUACUUCUGCGCAAAUCUACAGAAGCGCAUGGAGCGAAAUGCCACGCCCCUUCGUGCGCGUUUGUUUGUUUGUUUGUGUAGCAUAGCAGCCGGCUAGGCUCUCCGGAGCCUCUCCAAAGGUUAGAUAUAACAUCUACAUUGUGGAUCGUCGACUGCAGAUGACUUUUUUGUGUUGAGAGUGUUUUGGAGAAGUUGAUAAAGAGCACGAUUGCGGAGCAAAAAUGGAAGACUGGAUAUAAACGAAACCGCGUCGUCGAGGAGAGAUGGACCGGACUAUGAGCUCAGCUGCGCUCGCUUGGAUAAAGACUUCAGCUGACACAGGAGGACUGGAAUCUGCAGUGCAUUCAUGAGCGACCACAUUCAAAAUAGCAAGUAUUUUGUUAUAAUGUGCAAAUGUUUUUUUCUGAAAUAGUUUUUUCUAUGUGCUUUGGUGGGCAGAGAAGUUCUGAAUUGAUAUACAUAAUGUAAUAUGUAGUCCUGACUCAUUUUCUUUUGAUCAUAAUGUCAUUUUGUUAUCAUGUGUAUAUUUGGAGUUUCCAAGUGCACUUUUUUUGAAAGGACGCCUGGACUUUUUUGAAAUAAAAGUUCACAGAAACAAAAUUUUUUGGAGUAUCAUUCUCAAAUUUGAAUCACAGCAUGGUCAGACAUUCAGUUCACCUAUAUGGUGUCCCCAGGUGUCUUACAUGACCAUUUCAUACCUUUUUUGCUAAGUGAAUGUUAUUUAAAGAAAAACGGAAGUCAUUUAAUGUAUAUUUUACCUUGUUUUACUCUGUUUCUUUACUACUCUGAGUUGUUAUGACUAUUAGGCAACAAUAUGUCAAGUGUCUUGUUUCAAACAAGACCAGAAUUGUGAUUAUAGACCAUAGGGUUUAAGAGCUGCAGAUGUUUUAGUUUGGAGUUGUCGUUUUUCAGAAAAUGCUCAAAAAUAGAAGUGCUAGCUAACAGGUUAAUUAUUUACAUUUAAGUCAUUUUUAAAGUCAUUUUCGUGUUAAACUGAGUGAAAAUCUGAAUAAUUACAGCAUACAAACAAAAGGCAUAUGUUAUGUUUUCUCCUCAGUGUAACGCACCGAGCUAACACUUCAUUUAGUGAGGAAAUGGCAAAGUCACUACACCUUCCACAAGUACCAAGGCUUUGGAGAUUUACACACGUGACAUGAAAAUGGGAAUUCUUGAAACACUGAGCAGUUGCUGAUCCAUGUCAAGAUUUAUUUCCAGUGAGCAGGUUGUGCUGGAAAAUUUGUGAGAAGUUACCUAAUGGCAUGAAACCAAACGACACGUGGACCAUGGUAACGUUACUCUAAUGUUAUGUGCUCUUUAAAGAUUUCCCGAGCAAAAUCGUAUUUGAAGGCAAACCAGACGCACACAGACAAACCAAGCCUGCAUCUCAAUUUGCCUACUUAUACUAUGCAUUAAAAUUAUGUACAGUUUUGAUAACGUAUAGACAUUUGAGUGCAUUGAAAGAGAUGAUAAAUCUUAUUUUGACCACUACUUAGUACCUGCAGGGCAAGUCUGGCCCUGACAGCAUCGCAGAGAAAAUCAUCAAAGGUAUUUAUACUGUUUUACCACAAAAACACCUGUAGCCCAUGGACGCCAUGGACAUUGUCUUCUAUGAUGUACAACACAACCAUCCCUGUUAACAUCAUUAAAUUGAACUAAACUAAACUUGAGAUCUUCAGAAAUGUGCAAGCAGAGGAUAUUAAAAGUGACCGAUCUUAUAAUGAAAAGCCUUUUGGCCAUUGUUUUUAAUAUAAUUUUUGUCUGUCUUAUGGUGAAAAAAUUAGAAAUUUGCAGACGGCAACACCCAAAAACAAAGUUGAAAAGCACAGUGUCUUCUUGUUUUAGUUAUAAAGAAAAUAAACUGUGUGUGUGUGUGUGUGUAAAUAAAAAAACUGUUUAUAAAACACUGCAUUUGUGAUUCUGUUCUAGCACUUAAUUCAUGAGUUUUCUCAUUUGCUGAAAAUAUAUAGCAUAGGAAGUGACUCAGAUUUAUGUCUCUUCAUUUUUGUUAAGCUUCUGGAUUUAACAUUGUAAGGUUAAAGUAAGAUUACGUUGCCCUGGAUACUAGUAUUUGGGUCAGGUUUUGCUUACAUUCUGAGGGCUUUAUAACACACACUUUAUGUCAUAAUGUCCAUAAAUGCGAAAAGGCUUCCCUACUGGAAAAUCCAGCACAAGCUGGUUUUAGCUGGUCUCUUAGUUUGGUUUUUGCUAGUGUAGCAAGCUGGUCUAGCUGUGUUUUUGUCACUUUUUAAGAUGAUCUAGCUGGACUUUGCUGGUCAGGCUGGAAGACCAGCUUGACCAGCUUUG